CCGAAACUUGAACUGGCGCUUGACGCCUGACGCCUCGCCCUUGGAGGUUCGCCCUUCGCCGGAGCUUCACCUCUUCACACACAGCGCCAAAAUGAAUAAACAGCUGUCUACCACCACGGCGGCGGCGCUUGUAGGUGGCACCAGGGACGCAGGAUGAACAUGCUGCAUUUCUCAAGAUUCACCAGCGUUUACUCAUGCUAAAGCUCAUAGGACUGUAGAUCUUAACAUCCCUAUGAGGGAGAGGACAAAGGAAACCACUCUGUCUAAGAAAAGCAGACACUAAGAUGCAGCACAGAAGAAAGCAGUCCUGGAAGUCCUCUUUCAUGUCUUUAGUUGGAUCUCAUGGCUGCCUUGACAUCCUGAAUUGAUUCAAAAUGUUCAUCUUUCAUGCACACUUUGAUUAUGGAGAAGAACCAGAAGUUGUAUGGUGCCAGACCCUGUGAAUGAGGUGGAUGAGGACACAUCUCAAUGUUUUCAGCAGCCUGACUUUCCAUUGGGUGGCACUUGGCAGCAGCAUUCACCAUAUAUUUUAUGACAUCUUGUAAAAACAAUCUCAGAAGAGGUGUUCCAGAACUGCUUCAGAAAGUGGCAAGAAUGAUGGGACACGUGUUCAAAGUGAGGGAGUGUAUCUUUGAGG
ensembl:lncRNA